rnacentral:misc_RNA from 1 species
AACGCACAUUGCGCCCCUUGGUAUUCCGAGGGGCAUGCCUGUUCGAGCGUCAUUACAACCCUCAAGCUCUGCUUGGUAUUGGGCCUCACCCGUCAGGGCGUGCCUUAAAAUCAGUGGCGGUGCCAUCUGGCUCUAAGCGUAGUAAUUUUCUCGCUAUAGGGUCCUGUGGAUACUUGCCAGUAACCCCAAUUUUUUCUAUGGUUGACCUCGGAUCAGGUAGGGAUACCCGCUGAACUUAA